UACGGAGGGUGCAAGCGUUAUCCGGAUUCACUGGGUUUAAAGGGUGCGUAGGCGGGCAGGUAAGUCAGUGGUGAAAUCUCCGGGCUUAACCCGGAAACUGCCGUUGAUACUAUCUGUCUUGAAUAUCGUGGAGGUAAGCGGAAUAUGUCAUGUAGCGGUGAAAUGCUUAGAUAUGACAUAGAACACCCAUUGCGAAGGCAGCUUACUACAGAGUAACUGACGCUGAGGCACGAAAGUGUGGGGAUCAAACAGG
rnacentral:rRNA from 1 species